GCUCCCGUGGCGGAAUAGGUAGACGCACUCAGUUGAGCGCUGAGUUUCUUGUUACAGGUUCAAAUCCUGUCGGGAGUA
rnacentral:tRNA from 1 species